rnacentral:tRNA from 2 species
GGAGGGGUGCCCGAGCGGUCGAAGGGGCACGGCUGGAAACCGUGUGCACCCUAACCGGGUGCCGCGGGUUCGAAUCCCGCCCCCUCCGCCA